GGGUGAAGACGAGUUCGUCCUACCUUACCUACAUUUGAAUUUGGACUUCAGCAAAUUGCGAGCAUGAACUGAAUUCUGAAAAAAUACAUUUUGCCGAUGUUCUUGCAGGUUCAGGAACAACUUUGGCUUGAGGUUGUGCAAAGACCAUCGCCCGUCCCUACCUUACCUACAGGUUCGGGUCUUAAUUAAACUCGAUUGUCAAAAUGGAUAGAGUACUUAGAAAAACAUUGCUUAGUGUUCCGUUCUUGUAUACUAAUUAACCUGUCAGGUUGGUGCUGAUUUGGGACUAUGAUUAAAACUAGAGGCUGAUGUUGUUCAGGCUCAUGGAGCUCAUGGAGCUCGACCUCUCCUCCGUGGCCUCCGUCUGCAAGUUCGCCGAUGACAUCCUCAUGUAUGUACGCCUCUUCUAAUCUCCGCACUGGUUCAUACUAGUUCCAAUCAUGCCCCACCAAAAAAGAAAACAUACACUAGUGUCACAGUUCACUAUGGAUUUGGUCAUCAGUUCAUAAAAAAUCACAGAAAAUAGAACAAUGUCCAUGGGAGGCUCCCUUCUGGAUGUCGGUGCCGGAGGGGUAUCCCCGCAGCCAUAGACUUCUCUUCUCUCCUGCAAUGCAAGGUUGAUUUUCCUCUUAAACAUUCACACGAAAAAGAAUAGAGCUACUCCAUACACAUUGUGUGUCGGCGUCAGAACAUCUUAUACUAAUUAGUAAGUUCAGGAAAUAUGUUCCAAACUGAAGCUCAGACAAGGAGACUGGGAUAUAUAGACAGAGUGCUAUGAUGUGUGUUGUUAGUUAUGAAUAAUUCGGGGAAAAAACUGGAUACUCAUCAUGGGUUAUGAAGUAGACAAAAAUGCAUUUCACAGCAUUUGCUAUAUAUGCGUACACCUUUGUAGUCUUUUUCAGUUCAAGUUUUGCUAGGAAAAAAAGAUUUGUCGCAAUUCAAUAUAAAAUAGUGAAAUCAGUUAGCUGAUGGAAAAUAAUUCAAGUAUAUGUGUGCACACUGGAGUAGCAAUUCGGGCAUGCAUGGUGUGUGCUCUGUGUGUUAUUUUUCCGAGAUGUGAGCUGUCUGAUCCUCUAAAUAGGAGAAUUUGUGUUUAUUGAGAUACCAUAGAUGGGUGCCAUUCGUGCUCCCAUUUAUAUUUGGGCUUAUCAUAGUUCACUAGGGAGAGCUAUUUUGUACAGAAGUACAUGUAUUGAUGCCCCGGGAGUCCAUGUAUCGUUACAAAAAAUAGUUUAGUUUUUGUUAAAAAUUGCUUGCACCUGUUUCAUUCCUCCAGAUGCCCCCUCCUCUUGCCUACUCCCUGACCAUCUUCCUCCUGCCCCAUCCGUCCAGGUAUGGUACUCACACCAGUUCAAGUAGUGAUGUUGCAACAAGUACAGCUCCUCCCCUGUCAAGCUUAGUGAGCCAAAAAAGAGCAUGUUGAUGGAUGAUUGCUAGCUCGCUUCAUCAGCGGCAGAUUUUCCCCGCACACCGCACUCCUCCUUCCCCAACGCCCGCCACCUACCUCCAUCGUGCACUCCCGACUUCCUCAUUCAUCCUGUUGUCAUGUCUCGGGCGCUGCCCUCCGGCAACCGGUGAUGCUCCUCCCGCCACCACUCGGCCUCCUUCCCGAUGGAGCUACGCCACCGCCGCGUGCAGGAAGUUCAUCGCCUCCACCCCAGGCCGUUCAAUGCCAUCGUCGUGGACGUGCCCCGCUCUAACACCAUGGAUUGCGAUUGAGCGGCAAACAAUGGAGCCUGUAGAAGGAGUCGCGGGGUCGAGGACCUCCAGUUCGUCAGUCCAACAAAAGGCUGUAGAAAGUUGAGACUAGUUUGCAUUAAGGUUAGCCCCUUUGUUUAUUCAUUAGUACAAGUUAUUUAGUUCUACUUAGAUUAUGUUCAGUACAUUGCUUCUUAUUUUCCAGUGACAACAAAUUUUACACAUAUAACAAAUCCACAUUUUUUAUAUGACACAACACUUUGGGUUGGCUAAAUUUACGUGAAUGCUCUCUUCUGACUUCAACUGUAACUAAGAAUCUUGCUAAAUAGGUUGCAUUUUGAAUCGAGAGUGCAGCUAAUAGCCAGUGUCGCUGCUUUUUUUCUCGACAAGGAAAAAAUAGCUAUUGUUGUUCUGAAGUUUUAGGAAUUUCAAGGAACUAUUUUAGGAAGAAUUAGCUUAUUGAGCUACUGUAGAUGGCUGGCAUUUGUGCCUUGAAGGUUUGUGUGCAUUUCAUAGUUCACCAAUCUUAUCUGAUUUCACUCACUUCCGUUACCAUGUUAUUUCUAGCAUAGCAUGUCUAAAAAUGCAGAAGUAGUGCCAAAAAAAUGUCAUUGUGUUAUGCAUAUAAAAGCUUUAUAAAAAUGCACAAAUUAUUGUGUUUUUUGGUAACUCACGGUUGUGUGUAGCUCUUGUAUGUCUUCGGGAUACUUAUGCAUACUGUUGUUUGGUACAUAUCUUCAGUACAAGUUUGGAAGGCAAGGAAGUUCUACCGCUGGCAUACACCGAGUUCAGAGAUGUUGCACGGAGUGAGCCGACACCGCCGUAAAAAAUGGUUUAUGAGCAUACUGUUGUUUGGUACUUAUGCAUACUGUUGUAGAAGUGAAAAUUGUUGGGUGCAUGUGCAGAAAAAUUGUCAGUUCAGUUUUCAAAAUUCUGUAAGUUUCUCGUGUGUGCUACUACAAAUCUGAACUAUUUGUCUAGACAUUCUAGUACUGAUGCAAUCGCCUAAAAUAAGUUCAAGAAAAAAUCAGUAAGUUUGGUGCGUGUGCUGCUACAAAUCUAAAAAUCUUCUUGAGUCAUUCUAGUACUGGAAUCUCUUUUAGUCUGUAGCAUAGAGAAUAUUUUUAUGCUCAUUCGUUCACAUUAUGAAGCUCAUUUAUAGUUUCUUUUCUCAUUCUGUUAAUUAAGAAAAUGCUUAUUGACCUUGAAGCAUUUGUUUCCCUGAUGUUCAGAUAUUAUCGUCUAGGAAUACAUGAUGUAACAUCGAGAGAAAAAUUUCAUGUUGAUUACUCCCGUCAAUUGUAAAAGUUUGCCAAUAUGCAAUCCAUAAGUUCAAUAUCCAGUACAUUAAUUUAGUAGUUGGUACUAACUACUCCAGUUUUUUAUUUGAUGUACCUGUGGUGUCUAGUUUCUUCUGUCAGUUAGAUUUCUAAAUUUCAUCCAGUUCAAUUCAUAUUGUAGCCCCAAUUUAGUCCACGUGGUUAAUUGUUGGCUGGUGUGUGUGCAGGGUAUCGUGACAUUGAGUAGGCGUGAAGUGUAUCACUCCAGCACGCCAAGCUCCAUUACAUGUCAACGUCUUUUCCACUGCAAUGGAAGCUCCUCUGUUCGAGUUGAGCACUUGUCAUCGUCCAAGUUGAGCACUAGGUGCCGUCCAAGUUCAAAGAGGGUUGCAUGCAAGUACAUAAGUUUGCUUUAGUGAGAAAAAUGCGGGGUUUUGACAAUAUUCUAUAUGAUUCAUUUAUUCAAACUUAGGACAUGGCAAUGUUCGGUCUAUUUUUCUAUGAUGAAGGCACACAUGAAGUCCUGUGCAAUCGUUAUCCCCCGUAGUGCUUCAAAGAUUCAUAUUUUGUUUCUUCAAAUGUGGUGUGCGCCUGUUUGAUGAGAUAGAACAAAGUAAAAUAGUGAAAAUGUCAUUAAAGACACUUGGAAGUACAAAUGUAGAAAAUAAAUAAGUUCUGAUUCUCGUCAGGUAGGAAGUUUGGAGAAGAAAACAUAAGCUUUUAAAAGAAGAAAAUGGUAAAAAUGUAAGUUUAUAAAAGAAGAAACUGGUAAAAAUGAAAGUCCAUUCAACUAUAUAAACCAUAAAGGUACGAUGGCGAUGACACCAUCAG
rnacentral:lncRNA from 1 species